rnacentral:lncRNA from 1 species
GAGAGGAUCUUGCCUUGUUUCUCAGGCUGGCCUUAAACUCCUGGGCUUAAGUAAUCCUCCUGCCCCAGACUUCUAAUUGGCUGGGACUACAGGCAUGUACCACUGUGCCUAGUAGUUUAAUUAGUGUGAUGCAUCAUUUAUAAUCUGUGUAAGCCAAUUAUUAUGUCCCAUCACUAUACUCAUCUUGCUUACCCUUGAUUGUCCUUCGGGAAUAAGAAUUGAAUGAACUGGAAUUGUGAAGAAGAGGGUUCUCAUUACUGUUUUUAUUUUCCCUUUAUUCUUUAAUUUUACCCUCAGUUUCUUCUAGGAAUUACUUUACUCUGGGAAUGUUCUUAAUCACUGACUAGAGAUGAAGAUAAAAUGAAAUUUGGUCACCUUCAUAAGAUGUUGAUAUUCUAGUCCAUUUGCUAAUUUUAGUCUAAAUAGUAGGGAAAGGAUUUGAACCAUAAACAUAAAUUCAGUCUUAAAACAUUAUUCUUAAACCGUAUUUACCUGCAUUGAAGACAUACAUUGUAUUUGCCAACUCAAUAGAAGAACAGACAUAUACUUGAUUGUAGAUAAAUAAUACAAAAGAAAGGAGCUCCUCCUUUUCUCUUUCCCAACUUGAGUAUCAUCACACCCCUUUCCUUUCAGCACCCAGAGUUCCUUUUGUUUCUAUUAUUCCCCCUAAACCUAGAGCUCACUGAAAUUAAAAAGAAUGCUGUGGUUCCUCUCGGGACUGUUGGGUGACUUGAGCCUUUGACAAAUGCAUUACCCUAGGUUUUUUCAUCUCCAGCCCCUCAGCUUCCAGUAUUGCACAGUUGCUGUAUAUAAUUCCAUAUAUAACAUCAGAUCUUUAUGAUCUUUCAUCACAUUUUGAAAAGUAUGGUUCCACUGAACCUAAGCAGUAGGUUUGUAUUCAAGAAUACGAAGAAGUGGCCGGGCGCGGUGGCUC